GCCUUCGUGGUAAAGUGAUCAGCACGCUCGGCUUGUAUUCGAGAGGUCUGUGGUUCGAAUCCUGGAGAAGACA
rnacentral:tRNA from 1 species